UGCGGAGGGAGCUAGCGUUGUUCGGAAUUACUGGGCGUAAAGGGCUCGUAGGUGGCCAACUAAGUCAGACGUGAAAUCCCUCAGCUUAACUGGGGAACUGCGUCUGAUACUGGAUGGCUUGAGUUUGGGAGAGGGAUGCGGAAUUCCAGGUGUAGCGGUGAAAUGCGUAGAUAUCUGGAGGAACACCGGUGGCGAAGGCGGCAUCCUGGACCAAUACUGACACUGAGGAGCGAAAGCCAGGGGAGCAAACGGG
rnacentral:rRNA from 1 species